rnacentral:rRNA from 1 species
GGGGAAUAUUGGACAAUGGGCGCAAGCCUGAUCCAGCAAUGCCGCGUGGGUGAAGAAGGCCUUCGGGUUGUAAAGCCCUUUUGUACGGGAAGAAAUCAUCCGGGUUAAUACCCUGGGUGGAUGACGGUACCGUAAGAAUAAGCACCGGCUAACUUCGUGCCAGCAGCCGCGGUAAUACGAAGGGUGCAAGCGUUAAUCGGAAUUACUGGGCGUAAAGCGUGCGUAGGUGGUUGUUCAAGUCUGUCGUGAAAGCCCUGGGCUCAACCUGGGAAUGGCGAUGGAAACUGGGCGACUGGAGUGCGGUAGAGGAUGGCGGAAUUCCCGGUGUAGCGGUGAAAUGCGUAGAGAUCGGGAGGAACAUCCGUGGCGAAGGCGGCCAUCUGGACCAGCACUGACACUGAGGCACGAAAGCGUGGGGAGCAAAC